rnacentral:rRNA from 1 species
AGAGUUUGAUCCUGGCUCAGGACGAACGCUGGCGUCACGCUUAACACAUGCAAGUCGAACGAGAGAAGAGGAGCUUGCUUUUCUGAUCUAGUGGCGGACGGGUGAGUAACACGUGAGCAAUCUGCCUUUCAGAGGGGGAUACCGAUUGGAAACGAUCGUUAAUACCGCAUAACAUAAUUGAACCGCAUGAUUUGAUUAUCAAAGAUUUAUCGCUGAAAGAUGAGCUCGCGUCUGAUUAGCUAGUUGGUAAGGUAACGGCUUACCAAGGCGACGAUCAGUAGCCGGACUGAGAGGUUGAUCGGCCACAUUGGGACUGAGACACGGCCCAGACUCCUACGGGAGGCAGCAGUGGGGAAUAUUGCACAAUGGAGGAAACUCUGAUGCAGCGAUGCCGCGUGAGGGAAGAAGGUUUUAGGAUUGUAAACCUCUGUCUUCAGGGACGAAAAAAGACGGUACCUGAGGAGGAAGCUCCGGCUAACUACGUGCCAGCAGCCGCGGUAAUACGUAGGGAGCGAGCGUUGUCCGGAAUUACUGGGUGUAAAGGGAGCGUAGGCGGGAUCGCAAGUCAGAUGUGAAAACUAUGGGCUUAACCCAUAAACUGCAUUUGAAACUGUGGUUCUUGAGUGAAGUAGAGGUAAGCGGAAUUCCUAGUGUAGCGGUGAAAUGCGUAGAUAUUAGGAGGAACAUCAGUGGCGAAGGCGGCUUACUGGGCUUUAACUGACGCUGAGGCUCGAAAGCGUGGGGAGCAAACAGGAUUAGAUACCCUGGUAGUCCACGCCGUAAACGAUGAUUACUAGGUGAGGGGGGACUGACCCCUUCCGUGCCGCAGCAAACGCAAUAAGUAAUCCACCUGGGGAGUACGACCGCAAGGUUGAAACUCAAAGGAAUUGACGGGGGCCCGCACAAGCAGUGGAGUAUGUGGAUUAAUUCGAAGCAACGCGAAGAACCUUACCAGGUCUUGACAUCGUAUGCAUAGCUCAGAGAUGAGUGAAAUCUCUUCGGAGACAUAUAGACAGGUGGUGCAUGGUUGUCGUCAGCUCGUGUCGUGAGAUGUUGGGUUAAGUCCCGCAACGAGCGCAACCCUUACCGUUAGUUGCUACGCAAGAGCACUCUAGCAGGACUGCCGUUGACAAAACGGAGGAAGGUGGGGAUGACGUCAAAUCAUCAUGCCCCUUAUGACCUGGGCCUCACACGUACUACAAUGGCUGUCAACAGAGGGAAGCAAAGCCGCGAGGUGGAGCGAACCCCUAAAAGCAGUCUUAGUUCGGAUUGUAGGCUGCAACCCGCCUACAUGAAGUCGGAAUUGCUAGUAAUCGCAGAUCAGCAUGCUGCGGUGAAUACGUUCCCGGGCCUUGUACACACCGCCCGUCACGCCAUGGGAGUCGGUAACACCCGAAGCCUGUAGUCUAACCGCAAGGAGGACGCAGUCGAAGGUGGGAUUGAUGACUGGGGUGAAGUCGGAACAAGGUA